GAUGAACGCUAGCGGCAGGCUUAAUACAUGCAAGUCGUGGGGCAGCGCAGUGUAGCAAUACAUGGGCGGCGACCGGCAAACGGGUGCGGAACACGUACGCAACCUUCCUUUAAGUGGGGGAUAGCCCAGGGAAACUUGGAUUAAUACCCCGUAAUACUAUGAAGUGGCAUCACUUUAUAAUUAUAGCUCCGGCGCUUAAAGAUGGGCGUGCGCCUGAUUAGGUAGUUGGCGGGGUAACGGCCCACCAAGCCUUCGAUCAGUAACUGGUGUGAGAGCACGACCAGUCACACGGGCACUGAGACACGGGCCCGACUCCUACGGGAGGCAGCAGUAAGGAAUAUUGGUCAAUGGACGCAAGUCUGAACCAGCCAUGCCGCGUGGAGGAUGAAGGUCCUCUGGAUUGUAAACUUCUUUUAUUUGGGAAGAAACCCACGAUUUCUAUUGUGGUUGACGGUACCAGAUGAAUAAGCACCGGCUAACUCCGUGCCAGCAGCCGCGGUAAAUGACG
rnacentral:rRNA from 1 species